AUGGACGUCCUGAAGCGCGAGCUGCAGCGCAUGCGCCAGCAGCUGGACGCCGACUUCGGCGGCCGCAAGGUGCUCCGCCGCGCCGAGAUCGAGGCGCGCAAGGUCCAGCGCCUCCGCGUCGCCGAGCAGGAGCGCCUCAUCCAGAAGAAGAAGAAGGAGGAGGAGCUCCGUUCCCACCCCGCCCCCGCGUCGUCUUCCUCCUCCUCGAUGCCCGCGUUGCCUCCAGCCGCCGUGGCCGACGCGGCGAAGGCAUGCGACGACCGCGCGGACGGUUCGAGGGAGUCGUCGUCGCUCCCGAGGGAGGAGGUGAUCCGGCGCCUGCGCCUGCUGCGCCAGCCGGCCACGCUCUUCGGCGAGGACGACGCCGCGCGCCUCCGCCGCCUCCACGACGCGCUCGAGGACCCCGCCGCGGUCGCGGGCGUCGACGCCGCCGAGAUCGGGGAGGGGCAGACCAACGACUUCCUCCGCGACAUCCAGGCCCCGCGCGCCAAGGCCUUGGCUGUGGCGUCCAAGCCCAAGCCCGGCGUUGCCGAGAGCAGCCACGGCGAGAGCGAGGAGGAGGCGCCGUUCGACGAGCUCUGCGACGAGGACAAGAUCGUGGCCUUCUUCAAGCGGCUGCUGAGCGAAUGGAACCAGGAGCUGGACGAGACGCCCGAGGCGGAGCGGCGCACGGCCAGGGGCAAGGCCGCGGUGGCCACGUGCAAGCAGUGCGCGCGCUACCUGGAGCCGCUCUUCAGGCUGUGCAGGAAGAAGGCCCUCCCCGGCGACGUCCGGCGCGCGCUGCUGGACGUGGUGCGGUGCUGCGCGCGGCGGGACUACCUGGCGGCCACGGACAGCUACAUCAAGCUGGCGAUCGGCAACUCGCCGUGGCCGAUCGGGGUGACCAUGGUGGGCAUCCACGAGCGGUCGGCCCGGGAGAAGAUCCACGCCAACGGCGUCGCCCACGUGAUGAACGACGAGACGACGAGGAAGUACCUGCAGUCGGUGAAGCGGCUCAUGACCUUCUGCCAGCGGAGGUACCCCACGGACCCGUCCAGGUCGGUCGAGUUCAACAGCCUCGCCAACGGCAGCGACCUGCACUCCCUCCUCCUCCUCGCCGAGAAGGGCGCCGAGAAGCACCCGGAGGAGACGCUCCGGCUGGUGGCUGCCUCCUGA
rnacentral:rRNA from 1 species